CACGCUGACUGGAGGCUGGCGGACAGGCGACAGCGACCUGCGGCAGAGUCUUGCUGCGACACCCAGGCUGGAGUGCAAUGGCGCUAUCUCGGCUCACUGCAACCUCCGCUUCCCGGAUUCAAGCGAUUCUCCUGCCUCAGCCUCCCGAGUAGGUGGGACUACAGGCACUGAGUGGUGGGGUAUGCCAUCCUCCCCUGCUGGAACCAGCCUUGGCCUGCCCUGUUAGUCAUCAAAAAUAGAUCUCACCAGGGAACAAUCUUCUCAGGUUGUUGUGUAAUUUGAGUGAGCCAAGAUGGAGUCUCGCUCUGUUGCCCAGGCUGGAGUGCAGUGGAUCAGUCUAGCUCAUUGCAGCCUCCACCUCCUGGGUUCAAGAGAUUCUCCUGCCUCAGCCUCCUGUGUAGCUGGGAUUACAGGUGUGCGCCACCACGCCUGGCUAAUAAUUCUAUUUUUAGUAGAGUUGGGGUCUCACCAUGUUGGCCAGGCUGCUCUCGAACUCCUGACCUCAAGUGAUCUGCCCGCCUCGGCCUCCCAAAGAGCUGGGAUUAUAGGUGUGAGUCACCAUGCCUGGCCUCUUGCUCACUUUUCAUACUAAAACAACAAAUUACAGGCUGUAGUUUAACCUCUCUACUGCAUGCAUAAAUGCAGUGUGGUACGAGUGCCUCUGUAGCCCAUAACUUCAGUUUCCUUGUUGCUAGCAGUCUGUGGUGACACUAUACUAAUCUCACAUGCAGGAACCAAUGAGGAUUAGCCAGGGACACAGGAGGAGUCACCUUGCAUUCAGAAUGACUCAAGUUUAGUCUCAACUUGACCAUUAGCUCUCUGAGUGAUCUUGCCCAUGUUAAUUCUCUUGAUCUUAGUUUCUUCAGAGCCAGUGAGACAUUGCUUGAAAGUGACUUAGCCUGGUAUACC
rnacentral:lncRNA from 10 species